rnacentral:lncRNA from 1 species
GAGAGUAGUAGAAUCAGGAGAGGAGAGUAGUAGAAUCAGGAGAGGAGAGUAGUAGAAUCAGGUGAGGAGAGUAGUAGAGAGUAGUAGAAUCAGGUGAGGAGAGUAGUAGAAUCAGGAGAGGAGAGUAGUAGAAUCAGGAGAGGAGAGUAGUAGAGAGUAGAGAGGAGAGUAGUAGAAUCAGGAGAGGAGAGUAGUAGAAUCAGGAGAGUAGUAGAAUCAGGGGAGGAGAGUAGUAGAAUCAGGAGAGUAGUAGAAUCAGGGGAGGAGAGUAGUAGAAUCAGGAGAGGAGAGUAGUAGAAUCAGGAGAGAAGAGUAGUAGAAUCAGGAGAGGAGAAUAGUAGAAUCAGGAGAGGAGAGUAGUAGAAUCAGGAGAGGAGAGUAGUAGAAUCAGGGGAGGAGAGUAGUAGAGAGUAGUAGAAUCAGGAGAGGAGAGUAGUAGAAUCUCUACUACAGGAGAGUAGUAGAAUCAGUAGAGGAGAGUAGUAGAAUCUCUACUACAGGAGAGUAGUAGAAUCAGUAGAGGAGAGUAGUAGAAUCAGG